rnacentral:rRNA from 1 species
AUACGGAGGGUGCAAGCGUUACUCGGAAUCACUGGGCGUAAAGCGCGCGCAGGCGGCUUGAUAAGUUGGAUGUGAAAGCCUACGGCUCAACCGUAGAACUGCAUCCAAAACUGUCAGGCUAGAGUGUGGGAGAGGAAGAUGGAACUAGUUGUGUAGGGGUAAAAUCCGUAGAGAUAACUAGGAAUACCAAAAGCGAAGGCAAUCUUCUGGAACACUACUGACGCUGAGGCGCGAAGGCGUGGGGAGCAAACAGGAUUAGAUACCCCAGUAGUCC